rnacentral:rRNA from 1 species
UGGGGAAUAUUGGACAAUGGGCGCAAGCCUGAUCCAGCCACGCCGCGUGAGUGAUGAAGGCCUUCGGGUCGUAAAGCUCUGUGGGGAGGGACGAACCGCUUUGGGUGCAUAGCCCGAAGCAUGACGGUACCUCCUUAGCAAGCACCGGCUAACUUCGUGCCAGCAGCCGCGGUAAUACGAAGGGUGCAAACGUUGCUCGGAAUCAUUGGGCGUAAAGCGCACGUAGGCGGCCCUAAAAGUCGGAUGUGAAAUCCCUCGGCUCAACCAAGGAAGUGCAUCUGAUACUGUAGGGCUUGAGUACCAAAGAGGAUCGCGGAAUUCCCGGUGUAGAGGUGAAAUUCGUAGAUAUCGGGAGGAACACCAGUGGCGAAGGCGGCGAUCUGGGUGGAUACUGACGCUGAGGUGCGAAAGCGUGGGGAGCAAACA